CAAGUACUCCCUCCGUCCGGAAUUACUUGUCAUCAAAAUGGAUGUGUCUAGAACUAAAAUACAUCUAGAUACAUCCAUUUCAAUGACAAGUAUUUUCGGACGGAGGGAGUAAAAU
rnacentral:pre_miRNA from 1 species